GGAUGCCAAGAUGAAAACAUAACAGUCUGGUGAUGAUGUCUCUUGACUUGAAUGAAUGGGAAAUUGAACGAAUGAAUGUGGUAUGUGCAUCGUUGACAUCUGUCCCUCCAGUGAUAUCCAUUGGUUGAGAUGUUUACCUCCUCUGCUGACGGGUUAUUUGAUACCAUCUUCUGGUAUUGAUGCUCCCAUAUUCUCUGCCAGGGAAGAAGCAAAAGGACAUCUGAGUCUGCUGGAGCAGCUGACAUAUUCAAAAUGGGGGCACCCAGCAACAGUCUUUGGGCUUUUGGAAGUCUACACAAGGAACCUUUUUACAAGUAAAAACAUGUAUAAAAUAUGCACGUAUAACUUUUUUAUGUUUUAAACAGAAACGCACAUAUAAUCAUAGGAGAUGAUUGUUGUUAAAUAAAUCUUCUGGCGACAGGGUCUAUUUAUGUUUGCUGUAAAACACAAAUGGCUCCUCCAGGCUAUGACAGUGUAUUGCUCAACAACAUACAGAUCACAACUAAUGACUAUUAUUUCAUUGACCAGCACAGCUUCCCAUAAUAAGUGGCUCUUUUUGAUCUUGUAGCACCAGAUGUGAGCACACCCUACUGAAUGCUAGAAAAAAAAAAAGACCAUUUACCAUAGCUAAUAGCAUAUGUUGGCAAAAAGAGAAAAGACAAGGACGGUUCUCUAUAUGUAGA